UCCCCCUCCCCAGUGUCGCGAGUUGGCGCCGCUGCCACCCCCCACUCCGCGCUCUUGGCCCCUCGGCCGGCCGGGCGUACCGAGCCCUCUCGGCGCCCCUCGGAUCCUCCCUCCCACCCGCCCUUCCCCGCGGGAUCUGCCACCCGCACCUGCCCCCCAGCCCUGUUCUCUCCCCGCCGAGCCGCGGUGGCAGCAGCAGGAGGAGGAGCCGGAGCCGGAGCCGGAGCCGGAGCCGGAGGCGGCGGUGGCCGGGGAACCCAUGGCGUACAGUCAAGGAGGCGGCAAGAAGAAAGUCUGUUACUACUACGAUGGUGAUAUUGGAAACUAUUAUUAUGGACAAGGUCAUCCCAUGAAACCUCAUAGAAUCCGCAUGACCCAUAACUUGCUGUUAAAUUAUGGCUUAUACAGAAAAAUGGAAAUAUAUAGGCCCCAUAAAGCCACUGCCGAAGAAAUGACAAAAUACCACAGUGAUGAGUAUAUCAAAUUUUUGCGGUCAAUAAGACCAGAUAACAUGUCUGAGUAUAGUAAGCAGAUGCAGAGAUUUAAUGUUGGAGAGGAUUGUCCAGUGUUUGAUGGACUCUUUGAGUUUUGUCAGCUCUCAACUGGCGGCUCAGUUGCUGGGGCCGUGAAGUUAAACCGACAACAAACUGAUAUGGCUGUUAAUUGGGCUGGAGGAUUACAUCAUGCUAAGAAAUCAGAAGCAUCAGGGUUCCUUUAUCCUUAAUGACUACUUCCGUGCUUGCCAUUCCUUGAAUUACCUAAAAGCUACUCAAUCAGACGAGUCCCUAUAUAGUUGAU